rnacentral:rRNA from 1 species
GACGAACGCUGGCGGCGUGCUUAACACAUGCAAGUCGAACGGAAAGGCCCUGCUUUUGUGGGGUGCUCGAGUGGCGAACGGGUGAGUAACACGUGAGUAACCUGCCCUUGACUUUGGGAUAACUUCAGGAAACUGGGGCUAAUACCGGAUAGGAGCUCCUGCUGCAUGGUGGGGGUUGGAAAGUUUCGGCGGUUGGGGAUGGAUUCGCGGCUUAUCAGCUUGUUGGUGGGGUAGUGGCUUACCAAGGCUUUGACGGGUAGCCGGCCUGAGAGGGUGACCGGCCACAUUGGGACUGAGAUACGGCCCAGACUCCUACGGGAGGCAGCAGUGGGGAAUAUUGCACAAUGGGCGGAAGCCUGAUGCAGAAACGCCGCGUGCGGGAUGACGGCCUUCGGGUUGUAAACCGCUUUCGCCGGUGACGAAGCGUGAGUGACGGUAAUGGGUAAAGAAGCACCGGCUAACUACGUG